AGUGAACGCUGGCGGUAGGCCUAACACAUGCCAGUCGAACGGCAGCACAGUAAGAGCUUGCUCUUACGGGUGGCGAGUGGCGGACGGGUGAGGAAUACAUCGGAAUCUACUUUUUCGUGGGGGAUAACGUAGGGAAACUUACGCUAAUACCGCAUACGACCUACGGGUGAAAGCAGGGGAUCUUCGGACCUUGCGCGAUUGAAUGAGCCGAUGUCGGAUUAGCAAGUUGGCGGGGUAAAGGCCCACCAAGGCGACGAUCCGUAGCUGGUCUGAGAGGAUGAUCAGCCACACUGGAACUGAGACACGGUCCAGACUCCUACGGGAGGCAGCAGUGGGGAAUAUUGGACAAUGGGCGCAAGCCUGAUCCAGCCAUACCGCGUGGGUGAAGAAGGCCUUCGGGUUGUAAAGCCCUUUUGUUGGGAAAGAAAAGCAGCAGGUUAAUACCCCGCUGUUCUGACGGUACCCAAAGAAUAAGCACCGGCUAACUUCGUG
rnacentral:rRNA from 1 species